rnacentral:tRNA from 6 species
UCCGGCGUAGCGCAAUGGUAGCGCGGCUCCCUGUUAAGGAGAAGGUUGCAGGUUCGAGUCCUGCCGCCGGAGCCA